CCCGUUUUCUUGAUGAAACCAUUCGCGGAUGUAAAGAGUAUUCGUACUCGCGAGUCCGAGAGCGCAAAAACCCAUGUGGAUUAUUCCGUUGCCUUCCUUCUGAUUCUAUCU
rnacentral:snoRNA from 1 species